rnacentral:lncRNA from 1 species
AAGUAACCUACCUUUCAAUUUUUUCUUCUUUUUUUCAUGUUCUUAUCUUUCUUCUUCUCCUUUUCCUUAUAUUUGUUUUUCUGUUGCGAAUCUGUUUCAAUUGAAAUGUUUGGAGAUCCUGUCAUUCUAAAAUAGAAAAAUAUUAUAAGUAUAUAAAAUAUGAAAAUCAAAUAGAUUACAAAUUUUUACUUACUGAUUUUGUGGAGUGCUUUCGACGUUUAUGUUAAAAGUCUGGAUCUUUUCGCGUGAAAACGAUGGAAUAUUUUGAGAUGGCGACUACAUAAAAAAAUAUUUAAUAAAUGAUAUGAAAGAAUUGAAAAAGAUAAUUUGAUUUAAAUACCGUAGAAAUCGUAGGACGACUCUCCAUUAAAUGUAUGAUCAUUUCACGCAUCUCUUUCUGUUCUUUUUGCAUUUGUGAUUGCAUCUCCAAAAAAUUUUCUUCGCGAUCUUGAUUUACCUGAUUUAGUCUUGCUAUCUCAAUCUUCAAUGAUUCCAAUUGAUCCACAUUAUAUUUGUUACUUGUGGAUGCGUAGGCAGAGGAGAUUCUUUUAGAAAGUGUCGGACACGGUUGAAUUUUUCCAAAUCCUUGAACACGGCCUUUUUUAUGAUUAAAUAUUUUCAUCCACUCUUGGUCAUCUUCGCCAACGUACAUCGGUUGUGACUCUGUUGUAGAUUCCUCUGUACUUUGAGACAUAGGAAUGUCAAGACCGUGUUCUCGCAUGCUAGCAAGUCUUUUACUUUUAUAAAUUUCCUAAAUCAAAAAAUAUAAAAUAAAGCAGUUAAUAGUUUUUUUAAUUAAAUUUAACAAUGAAAUUACUAUCUACCAUUAGAGAUUCAGCAAUUGGAUGAGUUUUGUUGGUUUUCAUAUUUGUAUGUACUUUCAGGUAUACAUCUGCCCGACAAGUUUCCCUACCAGUUUCUUUAUCCUGCAUUAAAAAUAAGUAUUUAUCAAAUAAAAAUUUAAAUGAAAAUUUAAUGGCAUACGUACCAUUGCUUCUUUGUGUGAAGCUAUUGAUUUAGCACCUCCACGGUAUACCAUGAAGUCUGCUUUGCUAUUUCUGUUAAUUUUUCCAACAGAUGAUUUUUUCUUCCAUGUUACAUUUGUAAGCCAAAAAUCAACCAUCUCCUUCCAUAUAAUCGGUGAGAUCCAAGGAGGAUUGAAUUGAAUAAUUGAUAUGUCCAUCUUGUCAAUGUCAAUUCCUGCCUUAUUACAAGCAUUUUUCCUUGCUAUAUGAAGAUUGUUUUUAUACGUCUGGUUGACGUAUUUCUCGAAUUGGAAUCUAGCGACAUCAUUAUCGUGAAAACUGAAAAAUUUCUGUAAAUUACAAACAUAUAAUAGACAUUAACAAUAUCAUUUUUAUAAUAUAUAAAAAAAUCAUUAAAAAUAAAAAUAAAUAUUAAUAUGUACCAAUAAUUUAUUCCAUAUAUCAUCUUUUACAUCUUUUGGGAAC